ensembl:lncRNA DLX2-DT DLX2 divergent transcript
AACGCCCGGCCAAGGGGCGGGCGUCACAUGGUGGGCGCUGUGGCUGCGGCUGCGGCUGCAGCGGCCCCAGGUGCAAACAGACUGCCGCCGAAUGUGAGCAGCGAGGCGAGGGGUCGAGGUAGCGAGGAGUCAGGGUGGCCCGCAGCAGGAAGACAGAAGGCGUGGAGACAGACUGGCGUUUUGCCUCAGAGGAAGAAGUGGGGUCCCCUCUCCCAUUCUGUGAGCAAGUGCCAGUUCCAGUGAUUCGUACUUUCAUGUCCGAGUUGGAAACCUUGGCCCGACGGUGAUGGACUGCACGACUUGCUGGACUCCCAAGUCCGAAGUUCCUGCGGCAGCGCUUGCUUUGUGGCGCCACCUGGAACAUAGAGAACGGUGGGGGUAAAUAAGGGGAGCCUGAAGUUUCUGCUCUGUGCUUGCGUGUUCGAAUCCCAUCGCUGAGACUUUCUUCUGCUUUGGAUCGCUUGUCCCAGGCUGACGCCGCGCUGCGACCUCUCCCCUCGUAGGAGCCUAACGCCAACCCCUGCGCCAGGCAGGGAUGGAAUCAUCAUUCUCAUUGUAUAGAUGGACACUGAGGCUCGAGAACGGAAACGACUUCUUUUGAGUUGGGUGCCUCUCCCCCCUUGCCAGGCAGCCGCCUUUCUCUGUUGCCAUAGCACAAAUCACAAGGGUAUUUAUGGAACAAAAGCUCAGACCGCUGAGAUGUUCACUCUGCACUUUCAGCAGCACUCACAUUGAGAUAUGAGAAGACUGCAACAAGAACAAAAGGGUUGUGCCACCUCCUUUGGAUGUGAAGAGGAUGUGCUGACACGUGUGCUCGGGAGCCAGACUUUGUGGCCUUGGGGAAAGGACUGAAUAUUUCUGUGCUUCGUCGUUUGCAUCUGUGGAAUGCAGGUGAUACUGAGCUCUUCCUUGUGGGAUUAUUGCCUGGAAAUACACCAUUAUAGGUUCAU